AGAGUUUGAUCAUGGCUCAGAUUGAACGCUGGCGGCAGGCCUAACACAUGCAAGUCGAGCGGAUGAAGGGAGCUUGCUCCUGGAUUCAGCGGCGGACGGGUGAGUAAUGCCUAGGAAUCUGCCUGGUAGUGGGGGAUAACGUCCGGAAACGGGCGCUAAUACCGCAUACGUCCUGAGGGAGAAAGUGGGGGAUCUUCGGACCUCACGCUAUCAGAUGAGCCUAGGUCGGAUUAGCUAGUUGGUGGGGUAAAGGCCUACCAAGGCGACGAUCCGUAACUGGCCUGAGAGGAUGAUCAGUCACACUGGAACUGAGACACGGUCCAGACUCCUACGGGAGGCAGCAGUGGGGAAUAUUGGACAAUGGGCGAAAGCCUGAUCCAGCCAUGCCGCGUGUGUGAAGAAGGUCUUCGGAUUGUAAAGCACUUUAAGUUGGGAGGAAGGGCAGUAAGUUAAUACCUUGCUGUUUUGACGUUACCAACAGAAUAAGCACCGGCUAACUUCGUGCCAGCAGCCGCGGUAAUACGAAGGGUGCAAGCGUUAAUCGGAAUUACUGGGCGUAAAGCGCGCGUAGGUGGUUCAGCAAGUUGGAUGUGAAAUCCCCGGGCUCAACCUGGGAACUGCAUCCAAAACUACUGAGCUAGAGUACGGUAGAGGGUGGUGGAAUUUCCUGUGUAGCGGUGAAAUGCGUAGAUAUAGGAAGGAACACCAGUGGCGAAGGCGACCACCUGGACUGAUACUGACACUGAGGUGCGAAAGCGGGGGGAGCAAACAGGAUUAGAUACCCUGGUAGUCCACGCCGUAAACGAUGUCGACUAGCCGUUGGGAUCCUUGAGAUCUUAGUGGCGCAGCUAACGCGAUAAGUCGACCGCCUGGGGAGUACGGCCGCAAGGUUAAAACUCAAAUGAAUUGACGGGGGCCCGCACAAGCGGUGGAGCAUGUGGUUUAAUUCGAAGCAACGCGAAGAACCUUACCUGGCCUUGACAUGCUGAGAACUUUCCAGAGAUGGAUUGGUGCCUUCGGGAACUCAGACACAGGUGCUGCAUGGCUGUCGUCAGCUCGUGUCGUGAGAUGUUGGGUUAAGUCCCGUAACGAGCGCAACCCUUGUCCUUAGUUACCAGCACCUCGGGUGGGCACUCUAAGGAGACUGCCGGUGACAAACCGGAGGAAGGUGGGGAUGACGUCAAGUCAUCAUGGCCCUUACGGCCAGGGCUACACACGUGCUACAAUGGUCGGUACAAAGGGUUGCCAAGCCGCGAGGUGGAGCUAAUCCCAUAAAACCGAUCGUAGUCCGGAUCGCAGUCUGCAACUCGACUGCGUGAAGUCGGAAUCGCUAGUAAUCGUGAAUCAGAAUGUCACGGUGAAUACGUUCCCGGGCCUUGUACACACCGCCCGUCACACCAUGGGAGUGGGUUGCUCCAGAAGUAGCUAGUCUAACCGCAAGGGGGACGGUUACCACGGAGUGAUUCAUGACUGGGGUGAAGUCGGAACAAGGUA
rnacentral:rRNA from 1 species